GGUCAUGUGGUGUAAUGGUUAGCAUGCCGGUCUUAUAAUCCGCUGAUCCGAGUUCGAAUCUCGGCAUGACUA
rnacentral:tRNA from 1 species